rnacentral:rRNA from 1 species
AUUGAACGCUGGCGGCAGGCCUAACACAUGCAAGUCGAGCGAGAGGCGGACGGGUGAGUAAUGUCUGGGAAACUGCCUGAUGGACGGGAAUAACUACUGGAAACGGGAGCUAAUCCCGCAUACCAUCAGAUGUGCCCAGAUGGGAGUAGCGAGUAGGUGGGGUAACGGCUCACCUAGGCGACGAUCCCUAGCUGGUCUGAGAGGAUGACCAGCCACACGGGAACUGAGACACGGGCCAGACGCCUACGGGAGGCAGCAGUGGGGAAUAUUGGACAAUGGGCGCAAGCCUGAUGCAGCCAUGCCGCGUGUGUGAAGAAGGCCUUCGGGUUGUAAAGCACUUUCAGCGGGGAGGCGUUACCCGCAGAAGAAGCACCGGCGAACUCCGUGCCAGCCGCCGCGGUAAUUC